UACGUAGGGUGCAAGCGUUGUCCGGAAUUAUUGGGCGUAAAGAGCUCGUAGGCGGCUUGUCGCGUUGUUCGUGAAAAUUUACCGCUCAACGGUGAACUUGCGGGCGAUACGGGCAGGCUAGAGUACUGCAGGGGAGACUGGAAUUCCUGGUGUAGCGGUGAAAUGCGCAGAUAUCAGGAGGAACACCGGUGGCGAAGGCGGGUCUCUGGGCAGUAACUGACGCUGAGGAGCGAAAGCGUGGGGAGCGAACAGG
rnacentral:rRNA from 1 species